UUUCACUGGCUGCCCUCAGGUUGUGGCAGGAGGACACAUAUUUGGCUGUCCCUCAGGUUGUGGCAGGAGGACACAUAUUUGGCUGUCCCUCAGGUUGUGGCAGGAGGACACAUAUUUGGCUGUCCCUCAGGUUGUGGCAGGAGGACACAUAUUUGGCUGACAAAACUGCACAUAUUGGGUUUUCACCCAAUAAAUAUUUUAUAGUUAAAUAUAUUUUAUAGUUUCAAAUUCUUUGUACUGAAUGAUAAUUUUGGGAAAGCACUAUUCUCUUAGGUCUGCGUAUUUGCCACGGUGUAAUAGGAAAUGCAGUUCUGUCUCUACCUCUCCCCUGGAACAGAGUGAGCACAGCCUGUCCUCUCUGGACAGCCAGGUUUGCCUGUGAUGACCUGUCUCUAUAGCCAGACUGUGCUCACUGAGUCUGUACCUAGUCAGUGUUUUCCUCAGUUUUCUAUAUGUCACAGUGGUCAGAUAGUCUGCCACCAAGUACUGUCUGUAGCAUUGAAGUUUACUUGGAUGUUUUUGUGGUGUCUUUCCAAUAGGUGAUGUAUUUUUCAUUUUGCGUUGUGAUGAUUUGGUUGGGCCAGAUUUUCUGAGUGAUGUCCUGAGGCUCUAUGGGGUUGGUUUGGGUUAGUGAACUGAGCCUCAGAACCAGCUGGCUGAGGGGACUCUUCUCUUGUUUCAUCUCUUGACAUUGUAGAGCUGUGAUGGAAUGUUUU
rnacentral:lncRNA from 1 species